rnacentral:lncRNA from 1 species
UAGUCCUUUGACCUGAGGCAUCACAGUUGUCUUGUGGUUAAGUCCUUAAUCUUUGAUUAUGUCAAAGUCACCCCAUCGGGGUGUCCACGACAUCGUUGGGGUUAAGCCACUUAGUCAUAGAGGCAAGUGAAUGCGCAACAAGGGAUCUCUAACCUUCAAACCGUUUGAGGGAGAAUACUCUAUGAUAUGAUUUAGAACCUCUGAUCAGAGUAUGAAUGAGAUUUAGGAAAGCGUUCCAAAUCACAUUCAAGGUAAUCAUAUAAGCACACGAAUCACAUUGGAUAGUAGACAUGAAUAAAUAAACUAUCAAACCAAACAAUGUGGUUAAGAGUAUUAGAUUAGAGAAAGACCGUAUUGCAUUUGUAAUCCUAAACUGAAUAGGUUCUCCACCUCUUCUGAUUAGCUUGGGUAACUAUGAUAUGCUGCUAGGUGUCACUCAUGGUUUGUGGAAGCCCUAAACGUGUGUAAUCACUAAAGGGAGAAUUGAAAGUAAGUUUCAAUUCACAAUCGAUGUAAAAUGGUUUUAAUUGCCCACUGCCUCGCUAAAAGGAACCUAAUGGAUCGUACACCGUGUAAGGUGAAGAUUGAAGAAACAAUGGAGAUGAGUAAGAAUAAUUAAAUGGUUUAAUUAUUUAUGGCAAGGAUUAAUUAAUAUGUUAAUUAAUCAAACGAAUAAGUUCGUUAAAGACCUCGGGGAUAGUUUUGGACCUUAAGGCCCAAUGGGCUUCGAACGUCAAGCCCAUUGACUUAAGUUGUAUGACAACUUAAUUCACAAGGGCCCAAAAAGCCCAAACAAAAACCCUAGGGCCGGCCAUUUAGAGAAGGGGUAGUGAACUUGGACUUAUUUACAAGUUUGCCACUCCAAUGAAUUAAGGUAUAAAUAUGACUUUAUAGCUAAAAUUCAUUAAGGGGUUUGUUUUGGAGAAAAUUGGAGAGAACAUGUCUCUCCAUUUCUCUCUAAAGAGGCCGGCCCCUUGGAGGGUGUAUCUAGCCAUACUACUACUCCAAGGUCACUCAUUUUCUUUUCCAAUCUCUCCUUGGUGUGGAGACUUAGAGGUUCUCAAUUUUGGAAACUUGAAGAAACCUAUUCUUCCAUCCAAAUCCAUAGAUUUUAGAUGCAAGGAAUGAAGGCCCUCUCUUUGGGUGAUUAGCCUUUGCUUAUGCAAAGAGGAAUCUACAAAGGUAUAUAUUUUUCAACUCACUUUGAUUUGAGUUGAGUCUUGGUUCACCAAUCUACUAGGCUUUGAAUUUCAUGGGUAAUGUUUUGUUUUUGAAUGCAUGCAAGCAUGAUUCCGCCUUUUAAUUGUUAAAUGCAUGCUAUAGAUGUUAUUCAAAUGAACAUGUUUUCUCAAAAUCAUCCUUCGGCUAUCGAGUGCACUAAAGUAGCCUACGGUUUCCGGAAGACUACCCACGGCUUACCCUUUGAGCAAUGAAGCCACGUUACAACCAGACCUUCUUGUGAAAGGUAAAACAAGCUAGCGUGCAUAUACGAAGCUUUAUCCACUAUUGGCAUGCUACGCAGUCAAUAGGCUUCACCUCUACCAAGCGCAGAAUGAUCAUUUGGAUUUACAAUAAUUCCUAAAGUGUUGUGAUACUUGUUACGCACCUUACAGAGUUGGUUACAUAAAAUCAAAGAGUUAUCUUUAAAUUCCAUACAACUACAUACUUUUGAUACGAAAGGUUAGCGAAUUUCAUAACCCAAAAAUCUUUAGUACGUUGUAAUGCAGACCACAUAACUCAAAGGAUUGAAGUAAGCCAAAGUUAACAGCUUAGUGGUCACACAUACUUGUCAGCUUCUGUAACUAAGGUGUCUGGCUGCCGACCCUAUGGCUCACAACUAUGCAAAGUUCUACACCAACACACACAGAAGCAUAGGCUACGCAGGCCUAUCUGUUUAUAGAAAAGUAGCAUGCCUGCCAUUGGUUUAUAAAGCCUAAAGGUUAGGGUAUAAACAAAAAAAGUGAAGAUGGAGAAAAGUGAAGGAAGAAAGUUUAUUAAAUUUUCUAGCAAAAUUGAUAAAUGACUAGCAAAGACCGAAGUUGUUCAAACAAAGAAAAAGCAACAAGGAAAACAAAGAAUCUUAAAGGCUAUCUAGAAGAUUACCCUUCAGCAGUUUGGACAUCCCACGACUACUCGGCCGCCACACCUUUAGCAACCGUAAUGCUCCCAAUGGAGGCAUCAUUUGGCACUUCACCCCCGGAUGCUCCAACUUGGGCAUAAACCUUUUUGACUACUUUACCAAUGGGGGCUUAAAAAGUAAAGGCAAACAAGUCUUCCAGAGAAAUAGAGAAGGUUUCGAAAUCUUUCCCAGCAAACUCGAAGUCAGGCGGCCUACCAAAGAGAUGAUUUACAUAACCUAGCUUGUAGAAAUCGGCCUGACUUUGAACAAGCGAAGCCUCGAGCCUAGUCUUCUCACCCUUCAGCGCUUCGUUCUCCAUAAGAAAACCAACAUGGACACGUUGUAGCUCAUCCACUUUUUUCUUCAAACUUUCGUUAAUCUUCAGUACACCUUGGAGUUCCAACACUUGGGGUUCAAGCCUACCAACCACCUUCUUGAAGUGGAUAAUUCGGUUUUAAGCAGCAAUCAACUCUUCAUCCUUUGCAUAAGCAGCAGAACGAAGAUCAGAAAUGGCAUGCUCAAGAUCUUGAAUCUAAGGUAUGUAACAUUCGAUCUUCUUCUCUACACUUUCAUACUUAACUUGUAUUCCGUUAAGCCCAAUCUUCAAGUCAACGAUCUCUUGACGAGCGGCCUCAAGCUCCAAAGAAGUGGGGGCAGAGAUAUUAAACCCCUUCAAAGUAACGAGCUCAGAUUCCAACCUCUUGAUUUUCUUGAUAGAAGAAUAAGCUUCGGCUAUAACAACUUUUGCCACCUCCUUAGCAGCCUUGGUAUCCUUUUGGUCAAGGAGCAUAGACUCUGCUACCAGAAUAGUCGUCUUCCACAUCAUGGCAAGUAGGGUAGUCUUCCUAUACUUGGUCGUACGCUUUCCAAAGGAACUUGGGCAAACAACCCCUCUAACACCAUCAACAAACUUGUCACAAGCGUCCAUGUCUUCAAGCAAAUAUGGUUUAAAAAACGCACAGAUUUCAGCAGUCUUCCCAGAAGCAAGCUUAGUGGAUUUCUCACAGCUGCCCACAGGAGCAGUCUACUCCUUCCCAACCGGCGAAUCAGUCUUAGCAGCAGGGGAAGUAGGCCUUGGCACUACUUUAGCAGUAGAGUUUACCUUAUUGCUUUUCAUAUUAGCAAGCUUCUCCAAAUGUGAACCAGACUUACCUCCUAAUGGACACAUUGGCAUUGGUUUAGGUAUUGGGGGCACGAUGGAGCCUCUACGCUGAGCAAUCAUAUUAACAAUCAAACUAACCAUCUUUGGCAUGGCAAGCGUCACUGGUUCAGAUCUAGCAGCCUCAUCUUUCAUCCCCUUGGAAGAAGUCAAGUCAAUCACAAGCCUGGGGGUAGCCGGCGAACCUUUGCUAGCAGUGAAAGAAGUCUUUGGUUUUUUCUUAGCCGGCACCUCUUGAGCAGGCGAGGAAGAUCUUUGUUUCCCAUCUUCAUUCGCAGCAGGCUCCGCUAUAGUGAUCGGACAAGCCAACACCUCAUCUUUGAUUCGCUUUAUCUCUUUUCUUAAGACCAGCCCACAUUUCUUCCAGUAAAGAUGACUUAGUAGCCAAUGCCAUUCACAGUACUCAGCAAAUGAGCUCAACCCAUGCUGGCUUUUCCCUCAUUUUUUUUCUCUCGGACCAGUAGGCAAGAGGCCUGCAUGCCUAGCAUUCCAGUAGCCCAUUAGGCCCACGACCUCCUCAUUUAUCUCAUUCACCGACUUGGCUCGUGUUAAGUCCAAGAGCCUAAAGGACAUGAGCCAUGCGGCUCGCCUAACACUGCGCCCUAGUGCCACAAUCCAUGGCCUUAGCCGCAUAGUUGCCCUUGGCUUUAACCAAACCAAGCAGCCUAAGAGUGGUCCCUGCCACAACACCUCUUCGGUCCAUGCCGAGCUGACUCAUGGCCCCUGCCAGUCGACGUGCCACACCACCCCUACAGCUACACUAUCCAAGAAGAAGACAAGGAAAAUGAAUUUUUUUCUUAACUCAGUGUGGUGCGGAGAAGACAAAAAAAAAAACAAUGAAAGACGAUCUUUUGCACAAGCAAGUGUUAAAGAUUGCAAGGGGAGGGGGAACAAAUAUCCUAUAGCUUUCUCUUUCUUAUAGGGUAGAAUAAAUUGCUCUCUUAAGUUGAUUUAAUAAUCUACUUAAGGUAGAUAUAAAUAUACUUUAAAAGUAAUUUAUUUCCCUUUGCCUAAAAGGAUCUAAUUUCCAAUUAAAGAGAGAAUCUACAUCAAAACAGGAAACAAUCGUAUGUUUCCUAAUGCAAAAAGAUCUCUACACCUGCUGCCAUUUCCUGCGAAUAGCCCAACAGGUGUGGGGGCAUUUGUGGAGCCAAAAAUAAUUAAGAAGAAUAUGGAGAUGACACGUGGAUUUUUGGGUUAAAAAGACAAAAUUACCCUCGAGACACACCAAAACUCCCACACGCAAGCAGCGAACAAUCAUGACUCAAUCAAGGUCAAAAGUGAUUAAAAUAUGUAUUUAUUGAAUACCUAUUUCAUCCAUCCUCAUCAAAUCCUCCCCACAAGGUAAACAGUAAUUAUUCAUUCAAAUUAGGGUUAAUUACAUAAAUUAAUUGAUUAAUUUCCUGAUUAAUUAAUUAAUUUCCUGAUUGAUUACAAGAUAUUAUUUUCACAUAAUACCUUACAAUUACACGUAAAAACCACCAUAUGGUCGGACCCCUUUCCUCCAAAUAGGGGUCGGCCACACCCUUAUAAAUAGCCUUCAUUUAUCUUAAAAACCUAAUUCCAACUAUCUUCCAAAAUUCUCCAAAAUUCUCUAAACACUUUUCCCUCAAAUUCUAACUUUGGAAUCAGAGGUUCUUUAGCCAAAGCCCCCCCCACCCCCGCCUCCCCAUUCAUCGUGGGUGCGUGAGGCUCUUGGUUUUGACCAGAGGUGUUAAUUGUUUUAUAGGUGCAAUUUUGUCCAAGAACAAAAAUGCGGAAAUUUGCAUCCAUAAUAACAUGUCCUAAAACCUACAGACAAUAUAACAACAAAAACAACACAUCCACCCAACAAUUCAAACAUUUUAUACCAGUUGGGGACGUUAAAACAAAAUUUACAACUUGUUGAUUUGACUUCACACUGCGAGUCUGCAACAAGUUUUGGCUUCCAAGGCUAGGUGUGCCAAUGUAAAUUGGUUAUAGUAAUGGUUCUACUAAUAUAGAGAGCAUAUGUUUGUGGGAUUAUAGAAUUUUUGUGCCAAAUUUUGUAAACAUGAAAAUUUUGUAUCGAAGGAAACGAGAACACGUGUACAAAGUAGAUUUGUAUUGAUUUGAAUUUGUAGGUUACAAUCUUUGUUUACAAUUCUCCUCUGAUUCAGUCUUUAAAUUUCAUUUAAAUGCAUGAUUGUUGAUCUAAGGGUCACGAUGAAUUGAUCUCGAAUGAAUGGUUGAACGAUUACUUCAAGUUUUGAGCUUGAAAUAACGCGUGGAUGAUCUUCACCUCAAGGGUGUGGCAAAGGUAAUGUUUGAUGUGGGAUUUCGUUGCUUCAAGGGUCUUGGUGACUUGAUCUUCAAACGAACUUUACUACAAGUUUAUAAGCUUGCAACAAAGUCUUGAAAGAAUCAGCAUGAGUGCUUGUUGAUUCUUCAAGGAAGUGCUUCGGCUUUGGUCGAGAGAAAGCUUCAGCUUUGGUUGAAUUUUCUUUGAAGAGAGCUUUGGCAACGUAUUAGUCUUCAAAGGUUUGGCAGAGGUUCUUUUGUGUAGAGAUUUUUUUGACCCUUAUGCUUAUGGGAGGCCCUUGUAUUUAUAGGCUUCUGAAAGCUUGCCUUUGGGAUGAUUUUAGGCAUGUUUUGUUCUUAAUUUCAGCCACUUUACUCCCUUGGCCGAUUUUAAGGAUCUCGUUACCUAUUUUGUGAGCAAUCUUCAAUUCUUACUUGUUUUAUUAAAAUGCUUUAGCUUUCCUUCUAGUUUUAGGAUCAAUUUGGAUUCCCUAGCCGAUUUUAAGGGGGAUUCUCCCUUCUUGCCGAAUUUUGGGGAAGUUUUAUACUUCCUUUGCUUGACUUGUACCACAUGUCAUUGAUGACUUGUCCAUUUGUGAUGAGUCAUAUGCCACGUGGAGCUUUGCAAUGCAUCAUUUGUAUGUAACAAAAUUUACAUGUCUACAAAUGCCACCACCUCAAGGUACGUUGUAAGCAUGUGCUUGUCACAUGUAGGAAUCAUGUUUUGAAGUCCUUCAAUGUGAAUGCUCUAACUCAAGGGUCGUUGAGACUUGAUCUUGAAUUAGUUUGCUUCUUCAAGGGUCAUAAAGGCAUAUUUCUUGAAUGAAACAUUUAUUCAAAUGCCGUUGAGGCUGGGUCUUGAAUAGAGGUGAUGAAUUUUGUCAAGGGCCAUUGAGGCGUAUUUCUUGAACGAAACAUUUCUUCGAGGGCCAUAGAGGCUUGGUCUUGAAUGAAAUGAAACUUUUCUUCAAGGGUUGUAGUGGCUUGACCUUGAAAGAAAUGACAUUUUUUUUUUCUUCAACCACAAGGAAAAAUUCAAAAUGCGCCAAAUGUAUUUUGUCAAAGAUUAUGGAAAAUCAAAUACGCACAAUAAGUAUGUUCCGAUUUAUCCAUUUUCAAAAUUUCUUUCACGAUCAAGCCUCUACAUGUUGGAAAUGUGCCCUAAAACCAAUCAUAUGAUGAUACUUUACGGACAUUUCACAUGUUAAACUAAUCUAGUUUAAUAUCAAGGGCAAAGAUUAUUGUUUGAGCCGUCUCAUAUAAAUGUUAUAUGCUUAAACGAUAAGUCCAAAGGAAUGUGUGAUUGGGAGAAUGCGAUCUAAAGAAGUUAGAUCCAUGAGACCAUUCUUUCGUAGACACAUCCUAAACGUUCCUGAUCAUAGGAUUGCCAAUUGGGCAUUGACAGUCCGUUAAGAUCAGUACGUGCUGUGUAUUCUCUCAGGGAGAGUGACUAGUCUCGAGUCAUUGGUGUGUGUGACAUCAAGACAAGUACGUAGGUGCUCAAUAGAGAAUGAGUUCACUGAACACGAUCAAUGAAGAGUUCUCAUAUUCAUGUCACAAGUCGUCCUUUGACCUGAGGCAUCACGUUUGUCUUGUGGUUAAGUACUUGAUCUUUGAUUAUGUCAAAAGUCACUCCAAAAGGAGGGUGUCCACGGCAUAGUUGGGGUUAAGCCACUUAGCCAUGGAGGCAAGUGAAUGCGCAACAAGGGAUCUCUAACCUUCAAACUGUUUGGGGGAGAAUACUCUAUGAUAUGAUUUAGAAUCUCUGGGCAGAGUAUGAAUGAGAUUUAGGAAAGUCGUUCCAAAUCACAUUCAAGGUAAUCAUAUAAGCACACGAAUCACAUUGGAUAGUAGACAUGAAUAAACUAUCAAUCCAAACAAUGUGGUCAAGAGUAUUGUAUUAGAGAAAGACCGUAUUGCAUUUGUAAUCCUAAACUGAAUAGGUUCUCUACCACUUCUGAUUAGCUUGGGUAACCAUGAUAUGCUGCUAGGUGUCACUCUUGGUUUGUGGAAGCCCUAAACGUGUAUAAACACUAAAGAGAGAAUUGAAAGUAAGUUUCAAUUCACAAUCGAUUUGAAAGAGUUUUAAUCGCCCACUGCCUCGCUAAAAGGAACCUAAUGGAUCGUACACCGUGUAAGGUGGAGAUUGAAGAAACAAUGGAGAUGAGUAAGACUAAUUAAAUAGUUUAAUUAUUUAUGGCAAGGAUUAAUUAAUAUGUUAAUUAAUCAAAUGAAUAAGUUCGUUGAAGACCUCGGGAUAGUUUUGGACCUUAAGGCCCAAUGGGCUUCGAACGUCAAGCCCAUUGACUUAAGUUGUACGACAAUUUAAUGAAUAAAGAUUCACAAAGGCCCAAAAGCCCAAAUGCCUUAUGUGCCCGGCCAUGUGUGUUGAAUUAGGGUUUUUUGGUUAUUUAGGUCAUUUAAAGAAGUGACUAUAUAAAGAACUUUAUAGCCUAAAAUUCAUUAAGGGUUUUCUUUUAGGAAAUUGGAGAGAACACAAUGCUCUCCUUUCUCUCUAAAGAGGCCGGCCCCCUUGGAGGGUGUAUCUAGCAAUCCCACUACUCCAAGAUCACUCAUUUCUUCAUCAAUCUUACCUUGGUGUGGAUACUUAGAGGUUCUCAAUUUUGGGAACUUGGAGAAACCUAUUCUUCCAUCCAAAUCCAUAGAUUUUAGAUGCAAGGAAUGAAGGCCCUCUCUUUGGGUGAUUAGCAUUUGCUUAUGCAAAGAGGAAUCUACAAAGGUAUAUAUUUCUCAACUCACUUUGAUUUGAGUUGAGU